rnacentral:rRNA from 1 species
GACGAACCGAGCGAACGUUGUUCGGAAUAACUGGGCUUAAAGGGCGCGUAGGCGGGCCGCCAAGUUCGAGGUGAAAUCCUCCGGCUCAACCGGAGAACUGCCUCGAAUACUGGAGGCCUCGAGGCGGGUAGGGGCGUGCGGAACUGUGGGUGGAGCGGUGAAAUGCGUUGAUAUCCACAGGAACUCCGGUGGCGAAGGCGGCACGCUGGACCCGAUCUGACGCUGAGGCGCGAACGCCAGGGUAGCAAACGGG